rnacentral:rRNA from 1 species
GUUACAGCCGCCGCGGUAAUACGUAGGGGGCAAGCGUUGUUCGGAUUUACUGGGCGUAAAGAGCGCGUAGGCGGCUUCGCAAGUCCGAUGUGAAAGCCCCGGGCUCAACCCGGGAUCCGCGUCGGAAACUGCGAGACUUGAGUGCAGGAGAGGAGAGCGGAAUUCCCAGUGUAGCGGUGAAAUGCGUAGAUACUGGGAGGAACACCGGUGGCGAAGGCGGCUCUCUGGACUGCUACUGACGCUGAGGCGCGAAAGCUAGGGGAGCAAACGGGAUUAGAUACCCCCGUAGUCC